rnacentral:lncRNA from 1 species
ACUGCACUCCAGCCUGGGCGACAGACCAAGACUCUGUCUCAAAAAAAAAAAAAAGUUAUAGUUUAAUUUUUAAGGUUAAUUUAUUAUUGAAGAAAAAUUUUUAAUGAGUUUAGUGUAGCCUAGGUGUACACUAGGUGUUUAUAGAGUCUACGAUAGUGUACAGUCAUGUCCUAGGCCUUCACAUUCACUCAUCACUCACUAACUCACACAGAGCAACUUCUGGUCCUGCAAACUCCAUUCGUGUUGAGUGUCCUAUGUAGGUGUAUUACUUUAUAUCUUUUGUACUAUAUUUUUACUGUAUUUUUUCUUUGUUUAGAAAUGUUUGGAUACACAAACACUAGUGUGUUACAAUUGCCUACAGUAUUCAUUCAGUACAGUAACAUGCUGUUGCAACCUAGAAGCAAUAAGCUACACCAUAUAGCCUAGGUGUGCAGUAGGCUACACCAUCUAGCUUUGUGUAAGUACAUUCUUUGAAGCUUGCACGAUGACAAAAUUGCCUAAUGACACAUUUCUCAGAACAUAACUCCAUCAUUAAGCUACAUAACUUAAACCCCUGCUAUGCAAUGAAACUCAGGUAGCAUAUUAAAAAAUAGAUAACUCAAGCAUUGCAUACAGAGAAGCCAUUCUUGGAACACCAGACAAUAAGCAUUGCAUUAGAUCAGAGCAGUUCUGGGCACAUCUAUGGUCAACAAGAAAUAUUCUCAAAGUCUGAACUUUGAGCUAUAGUAGACAGACAAACUAAGAAUUCCUCAAAGUUAGUAUUUCCAACCGUGAUGUAAGAGUCUAUUCUGAGUGUUGUGACAAACUAUCUCCAGAUCUCGCUAGAGUAACACAAUAAAGGUUUGUUUCUCACCCAUCACAGUCGGGUAUGGCUGUAUGAGGGAGGCGUGAGGAAGGAUCUGCUCCUCGCCCAUCACAGUCGGGUAUGGCUGUAUGAGGGAGGCGUGAGGAAGGCUCUGCUCCAUGCAUUCAUGGAAGUGGCCUUGAUCACCAGCCUAGCACUUCACUGGCAGGGCUCAGUCAAUGACAUCUAGUGGCUGGGAAGCUCGGAAAUGAGCUUUCCUUUGUGCUCAGAAGUAGGACUUGGGCGAACACAUAGCAGUAUCUCUGCUCCAUCCACAUAAACGGGCUCAGAACUUAAAUGGAAAGAGACGCUGAAGAGGGCAUCAAAUAUAUGAGAACUGGAACAGGGAAAGGAACAAAGAUCUGAACAGGAUCAGAUAGAGAUAUUUGCCUACAGACAAGUCCUUGGUUAAAAGACCGUGGAAAUUGAUUCUAGAACUAUAUAUUAUUUAUGGCUUGUGGGACGCAGAAAUGUGUUCUGGUUACCUGUGCAAUAAACUGUACAUACUUCUCAUUUCAGAGUUGGAGUCAAUCACUCUCUGUUGGCCUUUUUUGCUGUCUUUACAAAGUCAUGGGUUAACGAACCCUACUGGGUACUUCUAACAUGAGGUGUCUGGGCUGGGAGAGUCUUACUGGCAAUUGAUGUCAAGAUUCUUCGUCCAGAGGCACAGAGCAGAAAGGUUCUUGGUCCACAGACACCUUAAAACAAGGCCACCCUGGCCAGGUUUAUUCCCGUCUGGCGGCCUACACAUUUCUUAUAUCCUGGAAAAACUGGUGAGCAAGCAAGUGUCGACCUCAGAGUCUCUGACAGGGCUAUUUUGAAACCACACACCAUGAAAACUCUCAGGGAAGUUAAAAAACAAACAAUCAUAACCAAGGCAGUUUAGCUGUUUUGAAAAGAGAUGGAGCUUCAUUACUUCAAACCCAAAUUUCUGCAAGCCUGACAACCACCUUACAUCAAAAUAAACGUCUACCUGCUAGCUGAAAUGUUUAAAAACACAGGUUACCAUGUGAGGUAAGCAGAGCUGACCUUGACUGGCAUCUCUAUCAGCAGCUCAGUGGGAUUAAAUGGCUUGCCAAUGUCACAAGGAAUGUGAGCUCCUUUCUUCAUCUUUCUGCUCCAAUGUAGCAACUACCAAGGGGCCACCUGACAGAACAUGGCCGCUGCAGAGGAACCCUGCUACCUGCAGUUGGUGACAUGGCCUAGGUCCCAGAGGCCUCGUGGUGCCACACACACAAGAACAGGCACCAACAACCAGUGACAUUUUGACAGUCAAAUGGAACCUGUGACUGCCAUCUGUAGAUGUGCCAGCCAAGAAUGUGACCCUGGGGAAAGCCCUUCACACAGGUCUUUCCUUGGUGUAUUUAUAUUUAGUUCCAGCGAAAAACUGCAGUUGUUUUUCUCAGUGACAGGCAUCAAACGAUAACCGAAAAGAAUGAGAAAUAAUUGUUCCCUUUCUCCCUGUUAGGAGAUUGUACUCUUUGAAUUUGGGACCACAGCUCUCUGAACAGCUAGCUCUCCCAUGCCUGGCUCAUGAGACAUCAUAAAUGUUGAUUGUAUUAAAGACAAUUUAGAGGGAAAGGACUUGAAUUCUGGUUCUAAGCUAUUAAAAAUAUUUCUACAUUUUAAUUUUUAAAUUAAGAAAGAUUUUGUACAUAUGGAAAGGUGCAGAAUAUAAAACAGACAACCAUAUGCUUACCAUCCAGAUUAAACAACUGUUAACGUUUUCUCGUAUUUACUUCAGAUCACUUGAAACAAAAGAAAGACAAAAAGAUACGGCUAAAGCCUUGGCCCCCUUCACUCACAUCCCUCCCCUCCUCCCCUCUGCAGAGCAACUUCUGCCUGAAGCUGGUGUGUGUCAUUUCCAUGCAUGAUCUUGUGCUUUCAGUACAUAUUUGUAUAUCCAAAACAAUAUUUACUAUUGUUUUGUGUGCAUUCUUAAUUUACAUAAAUGGCAUCAUAUUGUAAAUUCUCUUGCAACUUGGCUUUUCUUACUCAACAGUACAUUUUAGGGACUUAUUUAUGUUGUGUGGAUACAGUGUAGACCUAGUUCAUUCAUUUUAACUUAAUUGUGAAAUACCAUAGUUUACUUAUCCAUUUCCCUAUUGGGUAAAAUUAGUUAUUGCUUUAUUGUCGUUGUUGUUUAUUGCAAUGAACAUGCCUGUGCAUGCAUCUUUGUGCACGUGUUUGUUAGUGUAAAUGCCCUGAAGUGAAAUUGCUAAUUAGUAGGAAAUAUACUUCUGCACCUUCCUUAGCAGAGACAAAUUGUUCUCCCAAGUGGUUGUACCUAUUUGAACUCAUGCUAGAUUAGAAAUCCCUGUGUUCCUACAUCCUUACCAUCAUUUGUGAGGCUUUCAAUUUUUCUUAUCCAAUAAGUACAAAUGACAUUUUAUUUUUUUAAUUCACAUCUCUCUAAUUAUUCAUGAGCUUAAGCAUUUUUACAUGUUUACUAACCAGUUGUGUAUGUGCAUGUGUGUGCAUGUGAGAGAGAGAGAGAAAUAGGUUUUAAUCCUUUGUUCUUUUCUUAUAAAUUUAUAGUUGUAUUUAUUCUGAAGUUCUUAUCUGAGUUGAAAAGUGUUCUCACAAAUGGUAUCUUGCCUUUUAAUUUUGUUUAUGUCAUGUUCUAUUAUAAAUAGCUUUUUAAUUUUCAUGUAGUUAAAUUUAUAUGUCUUUUCAAGGUUUGUGGGCAUUUGUCCCUUAGUUAAUAAAUCUGUUUCUAACUCUACAUUCAAGAUAUUCUCCCACAUUGUUUUCUAAAAAUUCUAAAUUUUUUUUCCCUUCACAUUUAAAUUUUUGUCCAUCUGGAAUUUACUUUUGCUUAUGUGAUGAGUAGGGAUCUAAUUUUAUCUUUUUCCAAGCAGAAAGUUAAUUGUCAAGGAUGAUCCAGACUUUCCCGCUGUUUGAAAUGUCAUUUCUGGUGUUUUUUUUUUUUUUUUUU